ACUUGGCUGGCUCAGCUGGUAGAGCACCUGACUUUUGAUCUUGGGAUUAUGAGUUCAAGCCCAUGUUGGGUA
rnacentral:tRNA from 1 species